rnacentral:rRNA from 1 species
AGAGUUUGAUCAUGGCUCAGGAUGAACGCUAGCGGCAGGCUUAACACAUGCAAGUCGAGGGGUAACAGAGAAAAGCUUGCUUUUUUGCUGACGACCGGCGCACGGGUGCGUAACGCGUAUGCAAUCUACCUUUUGCUAAGGGAUAGCCCAGAGAAAUUUGGAUUAAUACCUUAUAGUAUGAUGACUUGGCAUCAAGAUAUCAUUAAAGGUUACGGCGAAAGAUGAGCAUGCGUUCUAUUAGCUAGUUGGUGUGGUAACGGCAUACCAAGGCAACGAUAGAUAGGGGUCCUGAGAGGGAGAUCCCCCACACUGGUACUGAGACACGGACCAGACUCCUACGGGAGGCAGCAGUGAGGAAUAUUGGACAAUGGAGGCAACUCUGAUCCAGCCAUGCCGCGUGCAGGAAGACUGCCCUAUGGGUUGUAAACUGCUUUUGUACAGGAAGAAACACCUCUACGUGUAGAGAUUUGACGGUACUGUAAGAAUAAGGAUCGGCUAACUCCGUGCCAGCAGCCGCGGUAAUACGGAGGAUCCAAGCGUUAUCCGGAAUCAUUGGGUUUAAAGGGUCCGUAGGUGGAUAAUCAAGUCAGAGGUGAAAUCCUGCAGCUUAACUGUAGAAUUGCCUUUGAUACUGGUUGUCUUGAGUUAUUAUGAAGUGGUUAGAAUAUGUAGUGUAGGCGGUGAAAUGCAUAGAUAUUACAUAGAAUACCAAUUGCGAAGGCAGAUCACUAAUAAUAUACUGACACUGAUGGACGAAAGCGUGGGGAGCGAACAGGAUUAGAUACCCUGGUAGUCCACGCUGUAAACGAUGAAUACUAAGGUGUAGGGGCCCCAAGCCUCUGUGCCGUCGCUAACGCAAUUAAGUAUUCCGCCCUGGGGGAGUACGGGCCCCAAAAUUAAAACUCCAAAGGAAUUUGACGGGGG